rnacentral:rRNA from 1 species
UACAGAGGUCUCAAGCGUUGUUCGGAUUCAUUGGGCGUAAAGGGUGCGUAGGUGGCGCCAUAAGUCGGGUGUGAAAUUUCGGAGCUUAACUCCGAAACUGCAUUUGAUACUGCGGUGCUUGAGGACUGGAGAGGAGACUGGAAUUCACGGUGUAGCAGUGAAAUGCGUAGAUAUCGUGAGGAAGACCAGUGGCGAAGGCGGGUCUCUGGACAGUUCCUGACACUGAGGCACGAAGGCUAGGGGAGCAAACGGG